ensembl:lncRNA
AUUGUUUGUAAUUGGCCUAACGAUAUGAGACAUGCGAUUGGAGUGGGGUGAGUGAACAUUUUGCUAUCACCUUGGAUUUGAUGGAACAUUGAAAGAGGAGUAGCAUAGCCUAGUGCUUCUCUUUUCCCAAGAUAAUGCAUCCACCUGACAGGUGUGAUCUCGUGAAGCUGAUUAAAGAGCAUGAUCAUUAUGUCAGACUGGCCUCAAACACAGACCAAGUGUAACCAUGCCAGCCCAUGAUCUCCACAUCCGGCUUCUUAAACUGGAAUCCUCUGAGCCUUGCCCCACGGACAGCUGAGGAAACUGGAGUCCCUCCUGCAGCAAAGCACCCCCACAACAUGAUGCUGCCGAAUAAUGUGGUCCCUUCAGAUGUUUGGAAAUUGCUCCCAAGAAUGAACCAGACUUGUGGAGGUCUACAAUUUAUUUUCUUGACUGAUUUCUUUUGAUUUUCUCUUGAUGUCAAGCAAAGAGUUUGACGCACUGCCUUAACCCUCUUGGGCAUGGAGUUCACCAGAGCUUCACAGGUUGCCACAGGAGUCCUCUUCCACUCCUCCAUUACGACAUCACGCAGCCUGGACUUGAACCCCUACACCAACAGUCCCCAUCCAAUCUGACAGAGCUUGAGAAGAUCUACAAGGAAACAUGCGAGAAAUUGCUCAGAUGCAGGCAUGCAAAGCUGGUAGAGGUAUACCCAAGAAGACUCAAAGCUAUGAUCACUGCCAAAGGCACUUCUACAAAAUACUCAAUAAGGGGUCUGAAUAGUGAUGUAGAUUAGAUAUUUCAGUUUUAUAUUUUCAAUAAAUU